rnacentral:snRNA from 1 species
AGGAUAGCUGGAGCUCGG